rnacentral:rRNA from 1 species
GACGAACGCUGGCGGCGUGCUUAACACAUGCAAGUCGAACGGAAAGGCCCUGCUUGCAGGGUACUCGAGUGGCGAACGGGUGAGUAACACGUGGGUGAUCUGCCCUGCACUUCGGGAUAAGCCUGGGAAACUGGGUCUAAUACCGGAUAGGAGCCAUUUUUAGUGUGAUGGUUGGAAAGUUUUUUCGGUGUAGGAUGAGCUCGCGGCCUAUCAGCUUGUUGGUGGGGUAAUGGCCUACCAAGGCGGCGACGGGUAGCCGGCCUGAGAGGGUGGACGGCCACAUUGGGACUGAGAUACGGCUCAGCCUCCUACGGGAGGCAGCAGUGGGGAAUAUUGCACAAUGGGCGCAAGCCUGAUGCAGCGACGCCGCGUGGGGGAUGACGGCCUUCGGGUUGUAAACUCCUUUCGCUAGGGACGAAGCUUUUUGUGACGGUACCUAGAUAAGAAGCACCGGCUAACUACGUG